rnacentral:lncRNA from 1 species
AAUACCAAAGCAAAUUGGUCCUCUAGUAAAUCUCUUGCAUGUGGAUUUACUACUUUGAUAAACAAAGUUAGUGAGCACCAAGGUCCAAAACCAUACAUAUUUAUUCUUCAUCUUUAUUCAAUCUUAAGCCCACCUCUAAUCCUUCUUGGACGAACCAUUCUUGGACGAACUAACAUCCACCUCAAUACCGCAAUCUUCUGAUAGGAUACGUUUGUAAAGCCUAAACUCCCAAUCAGGCUCGCAAAAUAGGCUCAGCUGCCAUUGAAAAGAGAGAGAGGUAUUUUCAUUCACAACACAAUCCACACUUCAUUAUGUCAGGCCACGUUAACCAUUCAUACUAUGCUACUAUUAUAUAUUCAACACUUGUCAAAAUUUAUGUAGAGCUAGAUGAUCUAGCAUUUGUUUUUCCAUUCCAAGGAUUGACAAGACCAACACAAGAAGCAUAACAAGAUAGCACAUAGAGGUUUUUUUUUUUUUUUAAUCGAGCAACUAAAAGUACCUCAACAGCCGCCCAAAGUGUCUUCUUGCUUAAGUCAUCAGCUUUGUUACGAGCAAUUGAACUUGCUCAAAAAAUUGAAUGAUGAAUAAUCGUAGAAACUCUGUUUGGAUAUCUCACUGCAACCUCGUCAUAGGCACUAGGAC